rnacentral:rRNA from 1 species
UACGUAGGGAGCAAGCGUUGCCCGGAAUCAUUGGGCGUAAAGCGCGCGUAGGUGGCUUCGUAAGUCCGUUGUGAAAGUCAAAGGCUCAACCUUUGAAAGCCGAUGGAUACUGUGGAGCUAGAGUACGGAAGAGGCGAGUGGAAUUCCUGGUGUAGCGGUGGAAUGCGCAGAUAUCAGGAGGAACACCAAUUGCGAAGGCAGCUCGCUGGGACGUUACUGACGCUGAGACGCGAAAGCGUGGGGAGCAAACAGG